GAUUUCUGGCGAGAUAUAUCUGGCCGGCCACGGUUUCGUGUGUUAGUGCUUGAUAUUCUAGCCAUCCUUCCAAUGGCUAUUCAUCCUUCUUCAUUGAGGCGGUGAGUGGUAUUGGAUCUUUUACUUUGAAAAAAUUAGAGUGUUUCAAGCAGGCUUUAUGCUAUGAAUACAUUAGCAUGGAAUAAUAAUUUAGGACUUCGGUUCUAUUUUGUUGGUUUCUAGGACUGAAGUAAUGAUUGAUAGGGAUAGUUGGGGGUGCUAGUAUUCAGCGGCCAGAGGUGAAAUUCUCGGAUUCGCUGAAGACUAACUUAUGCGAAAGCAUU
rnacentral:rRNA from 1 species